AAUCUCUACAAAUAAUCCAGUGAAGGAACACCAGAGCGUGGAAAGCUGAGGACGACCGACAAAGGACUCCCGAACAAGUAUUCUCCUUGGUUCCUGGAAUAUGGAAUCAUGAAUGUAGAAGAUUGGAACAAGGUCGGAUCAGACUUAAAAUGAGCACAAGAAGAGGGCCGCGAUAUUCCCGUCUCUGCUUGGUCUGUGUGGUCUGCAAUUAAAACAGCCCUGGAGCCCUUCCACACUGAGGAGGAGAAGGAGGAUUUUCAGGAUGACAUAGGAAAGUUGAGUAAUCAGGAGUCUAAUUAUCAGCUAAGUGAACCAUGACAGUCUCGUUUAAAAAAGGGCGAGAAACGGGAAGGUGAAUAAGAAAAUGGAGUUGCAUAGAAAUCUCCUUUGCAAAAGAAUUCCAAAUAAUUGAUGUAGACACUCAGCCAUCAAAAUGUGG